UACGUAGGUGGCAAGCGUUAUCCGGAUUUAUUGGGCGCAAAGGGAACGCAGGCGGUCUUUUAAGUCUGAUGUGAAAGCCUUCGGCUUAACCGGAGUAGUGCAUUGGAAACUGGGAGACUUGAGUGCAGAAGAGGAGAGUGGAACUCCAUGUGUAGCGGUGAAAUGCGUAGAUAUAUGGAAGAACACCAGUGGCGAAAGCGGCUCUCUGGUCUGUAACUGACGCUGAGGUUCGAAAGCGUGGGGAGCAAACAGG
rnacentral:rRNA from 1 species